rnacentral:lncRNA from 1 species
ACUCACUGGCCACAGCCAGCCAGAGCUGAGUGGUUCACUGUGCCCUGUGAUUUCUGGUUAGCCCCUGGAUAAAGGGUCUAUCCUGACUCGAGGCAAACUGGAUCUAGGUUCCUGCCUCGGGAAAUAAAUGCCAGAUUCAAUGUGGAGUCAUCUGACCAAGGCUGGGAAAGAAGUCAGAUGAGAGAGGUUCCUCUCGCCAUGAGUCCACAGGUGGCCAGAUCGUGUUCCAGGGACCCAGGCUCUCUGCCAACCCCAACACCCCACAGCUGUGCCCACAGUGCAGCCCGGGAUGCCGGCAGCCACUAUUACCUUUAUCUGCUUGAUCUCAUACUGGAUCCUCUUGAUAGGGUUGCCAUAAAUGUCGUUUCCAGAGUCCACUUCCUUCUCACUGACCGCUUUGGCCCUGAUCACUGCAAAACACAAGACACAGAGGGGCCCAACUGCUCGCUGGAGGAA